GCGUUGGUAUAGUGGUGAGCAUAGCUGC
rnacentral:piRNA from 5 species